AAACUACUUGUUGAUUUGAAAGGCGUUUAUUUCUGCAUUCCGUAUCUUCAUUUUCUUUUCGACUGACAAAUCAGCAGAGAAGUUUACUGAUGGCCACAUACCACAGGAACAAGAAUGGUUUUGAUUUCUGCUGUGCAGCAGCACAGGCUGAUUGUGAGACAGCAGCGUGAUGUAGCCACAAAUAUAUCCGGAGACAUUUCUGGAGGCGUAGCUGAUCUGCUGAUAUUUCUGUUAUUCAUGGCUGAAUUACCUCACCUGCAGUGGAUGGGGUCACGCUGCUGGUGAUACCUGGGUUAGCACUGCACAGAUCCAGCUCACUGUCAGGAUCUGUCUGCCAGGGCCUUGCAUCGCCUGGGCUUGGCUGUGUGGCUGCUGCGUCAGUGUGAAAUCAGUUUCUCAUUGCUAUGUUCCUGACAGAAUAACAGCAGAAAGGUCGCACAUUUCUGAUUUGCUCACAGUCAGGUCUCCAAAUUGCCUGAUGGGCUGUAGAUUGAUUUCUGUACCACAGGUACAUUUGCUCAUUUACAACCACUCUCAGCAUUUUCAAAAAAGAAUGCCUAAAUGUGUGUAA
rnacentral:lncRNA from 1 species